UACGUAGGGGGCAAGCGUUGUCCGGAGUUAUUGGGCGUAAAGCGCGCGCAGGCGGCCUCGCGCGCCCGACGUGAAAGCCCCCGGCUUAACCGGGGAGGGUCGUUGGGGACGGCGGGGCUUGAGGGCGGGAGAGGUCGGUGGAAUUCCCGGUGUAGUGGUGAAAUGCGUAGAGAUCGGGAGGAACACCUGUGGCGAAGGCGGCCGACUGGGCCGACCCUGACGCUGAGGCGCGAAAGCUAGGGGAGCAAACGGG
rnacentral:rRNA from 1 species